GAUUAACGCUGGCGGCGUGCCUAACACAUGCAAGUCGAACGAGGGGGCAACCCCUAGUGGCAGACGGGUGAGUAACACGUGGUCAACCUACCGCCUUGUGGGGGAUAACCAGCCGAAAGGCUGGCUAAUACCGCAUACGUCGCGAUCGGCAUCGAUCGUGUAUAAAAGGAGCAAUUCGCAAGGUGACGGGACCGCGUCCCAUUAGCUAGUUGGUGAGGUAAUGGCCCACCAAGGCUCCGAUGGGUAGCUGGUUUGAGAGAGCGACCAGCCACACUGG
rnacentral:rRNA from 1 species